rnacentral:rRNA from 1 species
GACAACUUUUAACGGUGGAUCUCUUGGCUCGUGGAUCGAUGAAGAACGCAGCAAACUGCGAUACGUAGUGUGAAUUGCAGAAUUCAGUGAAUCAUCGAAUCUUUGAACGCAAAUGGCGCUCCUGGUCCUGCCAGGAGCACGUCUGUCUCAGUG